rnacentral:lncRNA from 1 species
UUUAAGCCUUGUUGGUUUGCAUCCAGGGCGCCUGAAGCUCACGUGCUGGGGAGGGUGUUGACACAUUUGGCCUUGAGCCAGGGGCUGUGGUGAGGCCUCUGGUGAGGUUCUGGUUCUGGGCUGUUCUCAGGUUUGUCACCCUGGAGCCUCAGUUUUACCUUCCAGAAAAUGGGUCUGUGCAGCUGCGCUGUCAGGCUUGUCUUUGUGACUUGAGGGCGCAGCUCAGAGAGACACAGCUUGUGCUGUGCAUGUAGUCAGCGAGUGGCUUCUGGGUGACCUCUGUGGCCAGCACCUCUGGGCCUUGGGGACAGAGCAGUGGCAGCACACCUGGGUAUCUCGGGACAGUCAGAGCUUGCCGGCGGCCAUCUCGGUAGAGUCCUGGGGUCAGGGAGACCUGCAGGGCGUUCAUCCAGCCCUUAGAGCCCCAAAGGUCCUAUCCUGGGCUCAAGUGUGCUGGGGCUUUGGAAACCUGUCUCAGGUUUGAGCACCCCAAUCUGGGUGACGGGUUCUGGAGUGGAUGGGGACACCCAGGCCGUUGGGGACAGUCGUGGGAGUGGCUCACACGGCAGGGAGCCAGCAGGCAUUGGUGCUGGCAGCAGAAGCCAUCCCGAGCAGAUGGCCUUGUGAUGUGCAGCACCGUGGGGGCUGGGGUCCAGUGCCUCCUAAGCCGGAUCCCCUCUCAGCUGUGCUGUCUCCUGGCCAAGAUCUUUACUUCCCAGCACAGUGACCUGCCUCUGGGCCUCGGUUUGCCCGUCUGUUGAGUGGGAGGGUCGUCUAGGUUGGCUGUGCGGAAUCAGAUAACCCUGUGUGAGGGCCCAUGGUGGGCUGAGUGGGAGCGAAUCUCCUCCCUCCCUCGGCCGUGCCUGGCCUGGGGCAGGGGCUGUCGGAGCUGGCGCAUCACUGGCAGCACUGCUGAGGCCGGGGCAGCACCUGGCUCCCACGGCACGCUCACUCUCGGUUAUCUAAGAGGUGGGGCCUGCUCCUGUCCCCGCCCAUGUCCCUGUUUGUGGGCAAGGAGCCAGGAAGCAGAGGCCAAGGAGUGCCACGGGUUCCGGAGCUGGUGUGUGGGGCUGGGAGCAGGCCCAGGCCCCCACUCCCCGUCCCUGUCCCGUGCUUGGUCCCGUGGCCCUGCUGGAGUCGAGGCUGUCUGUGACGUGCGGUUUCUUUGUGCAGAAAGCUCCAGGUCGUGACUUAUGGAGGGAACAAAGGCCCUUUAUAGCAAACGCUCUUGGCACAUAAGGGCAGGUGUAUCUGAGAACAGCCUGGAUCACGGGGCUCCUGGGCCCGGCCCCGUCCUCCACUGUAGUUGUGGGGGGUGCUGAGGGUCCCCACAGCCCUGAGAAGACCCCCACAGCCCCCGCCCUCACCCCGGGACCCUGCCCCUCGCCCUCAGAGCUCCUCCGGGGGCAGUCUGCCCUCCGCCCCCCAGGCUGAGGUGAACCUGGACCCAGAGAGACCCUCGCACCAUUCAGGAAGGAGGGCCUGCCUGCCGCUGCAGGUCAGGCUCUGUGUGUGGCUGCAAAAGAAGCUUUAUUGAAAUUGUGUGAUUCCCGCCGCCUUUUAUUUAAUUUUGAGAUGAUACACAUGGCACGAAGCUCAGCAUUCUAACCACUGGAAAGUGAACAUCUCAGUGGCAUGAAGUACAUCUGCAUUGGUGUGCAACCCUCACCACUGCCUAGUUCCAGAACUUUUUCUCACCCCAGAUGGAAAUCCCAUACCCAUUAGCAGUCCCUCCCAGGGCCCCGCCCCAGCCCUACCAGCCCCUGGCAGCCACUAAUGCACUCUCUGUCUCUGUGGAUUGGCCUGUUCUGGGCGUUUCCAAUGAAUGGAAUCCUACAGUUUGUGGCCUUUUGUGUCUGGCUCCUUUCUGGGAGCAUGAUGGUUCUGAGGUUCAUCUGAGUAGCUUUGUACGGCUGAAUAAUAUUCCCUCACCUGCACGGACCACAUUUUGUCGGUCGUUCAUCUCUUGGGGGAUGUGUGGGUUGUUUCCAUGUGGCUGUUGUGAAGAGUGCUGCUGUGAGCAUUUGUGUAAAAUUGUGUGAGAUUUUUAAUCACAGGUGAGUCCCUGGGAUCUCAGCCUGUUGGCUGGGAGAUUUCCCAGAGCACCCACCCAUCGGAGGACUCCGCGUGGACAUCCCCAAACGGUCAGCCCAGGGUCCCACCGCCUCUCCAUCCCUUCUCGUGUCUCGUGUUGUCACUACCACCUCCUCACCGGUGACCACCCCCGCCCCCACCGCCCAUUGCCUGAGAACUGGGAAGACAGUGCCUGCCCUCUGUUUGCCUUCUGGAAGGGCAGAUCCGGAGGCUGGGAGGACGGCUGGGGAUGACUCACCGGCGGAGAGGAGCCCGUGUCCCACCAUCUCAAGGUUGGGUCCUCAGUGAUGACAGUGAGCUCAUCCUGGGUCCUGCCCAUGGAGACGGCAGUGAGCGUCCCCUGGGGGCCGUGCACGCGGAGGCCCUGCUCAGUGACAUUUGUAAUAAUGUCGUGAGCAGCAGCAUGUUCGUCUGCCGUGAAUUACAGCAAUCUGGACAAUUA